CAGAAGCUUGGGAGAUCGAAGUGGUAAUCCUCGAUAUCUGUACUGAAGUAUGCCGAAGAGCUCGUAAAAAA
rnacentral:sRNA from 1 species